rnacentral:rRNA from 1 species
ACCCGGAGAUAGCUGGUUCUCCCCGAAAUAGCUCUAGGGCUAGCGUUGUGGUAAAGUUAUAUGCAGGUAGAGCACUGAAUGGGUGAUGGCCUCACCUCGAGGUACUGAUCUCAAUCAAACUCCGAAUGGCAUAUAACAUACAUAGCAGUCAGACUGCGAGUGAUAAGGUCCGUAGUCAAAAGGGAAACAGCCCAGACCGCCAGUUAAGGUCCCGAAAUUAUGCUAAGUGGGAAAGGAUGUGGAGUCGCAUAAACAACUAGGAGGUUGGCUCAGAAGCAGCCAUCCUUUAAAGAGUGCGUAAUAGCUCACUAGUCGAAUGAUUCUGCGCCGAAAAUGUAUCGGGGCUAAGCAUAAUACCGAAGCUGCGGAAUUAGACAGAAGUUUAAUUGGUAGGGGAGCGUACUUAACGCGUCGAAGGUUGACCGAGAGGACAGCUGGAGUGUUAAGCAGUGAGAAUGCCGGUGUGAGUAGCGAUAAGAUGGGUGAGAAUCCCAUCCGUCGGAAGCCUAAGGUUUCCAGGGGUAAGGCUCGUCCGCCCUGGGUAAGCCGGGGACUAAGGUGAGGCUGACAAGCGUAGCCGAUGUACAACAGGUUGAUAUUCCUGUGCCACCAUGCACAUGAAGGAGUGACGGAGGAGGCUAAUUUGAGCCAAUUAGUGGAUUUUGGUUUAAGCGCAAAGAGGGAAUCUGGAGGCAAAUCCCUAGAUUCAGGACCUUGAAGCGUGAUGACGUAAGUUGAAUGAAGCCACACUUCCAAGAAAAGCUUCUAGUAACAAUGUAUGGUGCCCGUACCGUAAACGGACACACGUAGGCGAGGAGAGAAUCCAAAGACGCGCGAGAUAACUCUUGUUAAGGAACUCUGCAAAAUUACCCCGUAACUUCGGAAUAAGGGGGGCUCGAAAGAGACGCAGAAAAUAGGCCCAAGCGACUGUUUAACAAAAACAUAGCUCUCUGCUAAACCGCAAGGUGAUGUAUAGGGGGUGACGCCUGCCCAGUGCUGGAAGGUUAAGAGGAGAUGUUAGGAGCAAUCCAAAGCUUUGAAUUGAAGCCCCAGUAAACGGCGGCCGUAACUAUAACGGUCCUAAGGUAGCGAAAUUCCUUGUCAGGUAAGUUCUGACCCGCACGAAAGGCGUAACGAUUUGGGCGCUGUCUCAACAAGAAACUCGGUGAAAUCAUAGUACCUGUGAAGAUGCAGGUUACCCGCGAUCAGACGGAAAGACCCCAUGGAGCUUCACUGCAGCUUAAUAUUGAUAUUGAGUAUGUGAUGUACAGGAUAGGUGGGAGACGGAGAACUAAGUACGCUAGUAUUUAGGGAGUCAACCUUGGGAUACCACCCUUCGCAUAUUUAGUAUCUAACUAGUAUCCAUGAACUGGAUAUAGAACAGUGUUAGGUGGGCAGUUUGACUGGGGCGGUCGCC